AGAGUUUGAUCCUGGCUCAGGAUGAACGCUGGCGGCGUGCUUAACACAUGCAAGUCGAACGAACCUUCGGGUUAGUGGCGGACGGGUGAGUAACGCGUGAGAAUCUGCCCUCAGGAGGGGGAUAACGGUUGGAAACGACCGCUAAUACCCCAUAUGCCUACUGGUGAAAUGAAUUUCGCCUGAGGAUGAGCUCGCGUCUGAUUAGCUAGUUGGUGAGGUAAUGGCUCACCAAGGCUUCGAUCAGUAGCUGGUCUGAGAGGAUGAUCAGCCACACUGGGACUGAGACACGGCCCAGACUCCUACGGGAGGCAGCAGUGGGGAAUUUUCCGCAAUGGGCGAAAGCCUGACGGAGCAACGCCGCGUGAGGGACGAAGGCCUCUGGGCUGUAAACCUCUUUUCUCAAGGAAGAAGAUAUGACGGUACUUGAGGAAUAAGCCACGGCUAAUUCCGUGCCAGCAGCCGCGGUAAUACGGGAGUGGCAAGCGUUAUCCGGAAUUAUUGGGCGUAAAGCGUCCGCAGGCGGCUUUUCAAGUCUGCUGUUAAAGCGUGGAGCUUAACUCCAUCAUGGCAGUGGAAACUGAAAGGCUUGAGUAUGGUAGGGGCAGAGGGAAUUCCCGGUGUAGCGGUGAAAUGCGUAGAUAUCGGGAAGAACACCAGUGGCGAAGGCGCUCUGCUGGGCCAUUACUGACGCUCAUGGACGAAAGCCAGGGGAGCGAAAGGGAUUAGAUACCCCUGUAGUCCUGGCCGUAAACGAUGAACACUAGGUGUCGGGGGAAUCGACCUCUUCGGUGUCGUAGCUAACGCGUUAAGUGUUCCGCCUGGGGAGUACGC
rnacentral:rRNA from 1 species